GUAGCUGCUGCGUUUUCUUUUUCUUUUGUGUUUGCUUUUCUCGCAUUGACUGUUGUUGCUGCCGUGGCUAUAGUUAAUGCGCUUUAUCUGGUUGAUGCAAUUAUUUUUGUUAUAAAAGCACCCUAUAAAUAAAGAGACAACACACAUAAGCCAAUAAGUAUGCUAUGCCAAAUAGCAGCAUCUAUUGCAUCAAUAUGUAUUAUGUAUGUAUGUAUGUACAUAUGUGCUGGUAUAUACGCAAUGUAACAUAACGUAGCAUAUACGAUGCCAACAACGAUAACAAAAACAACAACUAGAGCCAACAGGUUUAAACUACGCAAACGGCAAACAGAAAUUACAAUAACAGAAGCAACCGCGAAGUCAGCGACGCGACGCAACGCAAGCAGCGACCACGACAGUAAAAGCAAUAACACAAUAAAUGAAAAUGGAAAUCUUUUCAACAUGUGUACACACAAAACAUAACCCAUCCACACGUACAUACACCCAUCCAUACAUAAAUGUACAUACAUACAUAUGUACAUGCAUAUGUAUUUUCGUAUGUGUGUUUAAUUCCGGAAUGAUUCGAAAUUGUCGCCAAACAAACUUGACAAUCAAUUUGGAACAAGGGAACUCGAAUUGUGAAUUUAGCAAUGAUCAAAAUUCCAGCGAAACAAAACGAAACGAAACGUAGUGGAAAUGGAACAAGCUGAUUGAUUAACAAUGUUCGCCAUUUUUCAGUACUGCCAGCAAUCGAUCGUGCUAGAAAAGGCCAGAUUUGACUCCAAAAAUACGGCAUUGACAACACAGGCUUGAGUGAGAGGUAAACACUCACUCACACACAAGCACACACAUAAAGAGAGACCGCAGGAACGACAGACAGCUGAAGCAGCAGCAGCAGCAGCAUAUGCACUAAGCGCAUGGGACGAAGGAAGUGCUAGAGCAACAACAACAAAACGCACACACACGCAUGCAGUGCCAUCGAAAACUGCUGACGCUGACGCAUUUAUCACUACGCUGCUUUGGCCUGCCAAACAACAAGAAUAAGAACAAGAACAACAAGAAGAAGGCACCACACAGCAACAAAUAGUAACCGCCAACAAGCAGCAGCAGCUCAGCUACAACUACAGCAGCCAGCAACGCGUUUGUUUGUACGUUUGUAGCUAGCCAAUGGUUGUAGCGGUGGAGCAUCAGCAGACUGGAGUAGGAGCUGGAGCAGGAACAGGGGCAGGGGAGAACGCUCAACAGUCGGAAUCGGAAUCGGCGUCGGCGGCGCGCAUUGGGAGUCAUUGAUUUUCGUUUAUGAGCGCGACGGUGACGGCGACGGCGACGCGCUCUCACUUUUUAUACGU